UUAAGUUAACAAGGGCGCAUGGUGAAUGCCUUGGCACUAGGAGCCGAUGAAGGACGGGACUAACACCGAUAUGCUUCGGGGAGCUGUACGUAAGCUAUGAUCCGGAGAUUUCCGAAUGGGGCAACCCAGCAGUUUUAAUCAACUGUUACCACUAGAUGAAUUCAUAGUCUAGUUGGAGGUAAACGCUGUGAACUGAAACAUCUCAUUAGCAGCAGGAAUAUAAAGAAAUUUCGAUUCCCUAAGUAGCGGCGAGCGAACGGGGAACAGCCCAAACCAAAGUGCUUGCACUUUGGGGUUGUAGGACUGAACAUUUGAGUUACCAAAGAACUUGAUAGUCGAAGGAUUUGGGAAAAUCCGCCAUAGAUGGUGAUAGCCCAGUAGAUUAAAUCAAAUUCUCUCAGUUCAGGAUCCUGAGUACGGCGGAACACGUGAAAUUCCGUCGGAAUCCGGGAGGACCAUCUCCCAAGGCUAAAUACUACCUAGUGACCGAUAGUGAACCAGUACCGUGAGGGAAAGGUGAAAAGCACCCCGGGAGGGGAGUGAAAUAGUUCCUGAAACCAUGUGCCUACAAUAAGUCAGAGCGCGUUAAUGCGUGAUGGCGUGCCUUUUGUAGAAUGAACCGGCGAGUUAUGAUCCCGUGCAAGGUUAAGACUAAAAAGUCGGAGCCGUAGCGAAAGCGAGUCUGAAAUGGGCGUUUUGAGUACGAGGUUAUAGACCCGAAACCAGGUGACCUAUCCAUGUCCAGGUUGAAGGUGCGGUAAAACGCACUGGAGGACCGAACCCGUGUAAGUUGAAAAUUGCUGGGAUGAGGUGUGGAUAGCGGUGAAAUUCCAAACGAACUUGGAGAUAGCUGGUUCUCUCCGAAAUAGCUUUAGGGCUAGCCUCGGAAUUAGGAUCAUGGAGGUAGAGCACUAUUUGGACUAGGGGCCCGUCUUGGGUUACUGAAUUCAGAUAAACUCCGAAUGCCAUUGAUUCAUAUCCGGGAGUCAGACGAUGAGUGAUAAGAUCCACCGUCGAAAGGGGAACAGCCCAGACCAUCAGUUAAGGUCCCUAAAUGUAUGCUAAGUGGAAAAGGAUGUGGAGUUGCAUAGACAACUAGGAUGUUGGCUCAGAAGCAGCCACCAUUUAAAGAGUGCGUAAUAGCUCACUAGUCGAGUGAUCCUGCGCCGAAAAUGUACCGGGGCUAAGCAUACUACCGAAACCAUGGAUGCGACCAUUAGGUCGCGUGAUAGGAGAGCGUUCUAAGGGCGGUGAAGCAAGAUCGUGAGGACUUGUGGAGCGCUUAGAAGUGAGAAUGCCGGUAUGAGUAGCGAAAGAUAGGUGAGAAUCCUAUCCACCGAAUGACUAAGGUUUCCUGGGGAAGGCUCGUCCUCCCAGGGUUAGUCGGGACCUAAGUCGAGGCCGAGAGGCGUAGACGAUGGAUAACAGGUUGAGAUUCCUGUACUAGUUAAGUGCGUUUGAGCAAUGGAGGGACGCAGGAGGCUAAGAUGUGCAUUCUGUUGGAUUAGAAUGUCCAAGCAGUAAGUCUUGUGAAGAGUCAAAUGCUUUUCACUUUAAGGACAAGCUGUGAUGGGGAGCGAAAUUUAGUAGCGAAGCGUCUGAUGUCACACUGCCGAGAAAAGCUUCUAGUGAGUACUUAACUACCCGUACCGCAAACCGACACAGGUAGUCGAGGAGAGAAUCCUAAGGUGAGCGAGUGAACUCUCGUUAAGGAACUCGGCAAAAUGACCCCGUAACUUCGGGAGAAGGGGUGCUGAUCGCAAGAUCAGCCGCAGUGAAUAGGCCCAGGCGACUGUUUAUCAAAAACACAGGUCUCUGCAAAAUCGUAAGAUGACGUAUAGGGGCUGACGCCUGCCCGGUGCUGGAAGGUUAAAAGGAUGGGUUAGCUUCGGCGAAGCUCAGAAUUGAAGCCCCAGUAAACGGCGGCCGUAACUAUAACGGUCCUAAGGUAGCGAAAUUCCUUGUCGGGUAAGUUCCGACCCGCACGAAAGGCGUAACGAUCUGGGCACUGUCUCAACGAGAGACUCGGUGAAAUUAUAUUGUCCGUGAAGAUGCGGACUACCCGCGACAGGACGGAAAGACCCCAUGGAGCUUUACUGUAGCUUGAUAUUGAGUGUUUGUACAGCUUGUACAGGAUAGGUAGGAGCCAUAGAAACCGGAACGCUAGUUUCGGUGGAGGCAUUGGUGGGAUACUACCCUCGCUGUAUGACCACUCUAACCCGCACCACUAAUCGUGGUGGGAGACAGUGUCAGGUGGGCAGUUUGACUGGGGCGGUCGCCUCCUAAAAAGUAACGGAGGCGCCCAAAGGUUCCCUCAGAAUGGUUGGAAAUCAUUCGCAGAGUGUAAAGGCACAAGGGAGCUUGACUGCGAGACAGACAGGUCGAGCAGGGACGAAAGUCGGGCUUAGUGAUCCGGUGGUACCGUAUGGAAGGGCCAUCGCUCAACGGAUAAAAGCUACCCUGGGGAUAACAGGCUUAUCUCCCCCAAGAGUCCACAUCGACGGGGAGGUUUGGCACCUCGAUGUCGGCUCAUCGCAUCCUGGGGCUGUAGUCGGUCCCAAGGGUUGGGCUGUUCGCCCAUUAAAGCGGUACGCGAGCUGGGUUCAGAACGUCGUGAGACAGUUCGGUCCCUAUCCGUCGCGGGCGUAGGAAAUUUGAGAGGACCUGUCCUUAGUACGAGAGGACCGGGAUGGACAUACCUCUGGUGUACCAGUUGUGCCGCCAGGCGCAUCGCUGGGUAGCUACGUAUGGAUGUGAUAAACGCUGAAAGCAUCUAAGUGUGAAACACACCUCGAGAUGAGAUUUCCCAUUCCUUUAUGGAAGUAAGACCCCUGAAAGAUGAUCAGGUAGAUAGGUUAGAAGUGGCAGUGCGGUGACGCAUGAAGCGGACUAAUACUAAUCGGUCGAGGACUUAACCAA
rnacentral:rRNA from 1 species